UACGAAGGGGGCUAGCGUUGCUCGGAAUUACUGGGCGUAAAGGGCGCGUAGGCGGUUGUGUAAGUCCGAGGUUAAAGCCCAGGGCUUAACCUUGGAACUGCCUUUGAUACUGGGCAUCUUGAGUUCGGGAGAGGUGAGUGGAACUCCGAGUGUAGAGGUGAAAUUCGUAGAUAUUCGGAAGAACACCAGUGGCGAAGGCGACUCGCUGGCCCGAUACUGACGCUGAGGCGCGAAAGCGUGGGGAGCAAACAGG
rnacentral:rRNA from 1 species